GGCAGCGAGGCCUCCGUGGCCAGAGAGCCACGGGCAAGGGGCUGAGCAGAGGGGGGUCCGAUGCCAGUUGCUUAAAAAUGCCCCUGUCGCACCAAGAGGUGCCAGAGCCGAGUCAACUUAGUUGAGAAGCAGGGACACCCACAACCAUACCCCAAAAAGGCUGAGCCUCCACCUCCGAAGAGUCAUCCCCGGGCCAGACAACAGCCAAGGCAAGAGUGGCGGCUAGCAGGGUGCCCCCCCCUACACUGGAGAAUGAAGACCCCCCAGAGAGGAAUCCUCCCGAGAACCAGGAAAGGACAGCAGUGGCAGCCCUGCUCUCAGAACUGAGCUUCCCAACAGACAGAAGCCAGAGAUUCCCCCUAGCCUGGAGACAUUCUCUGAAGACGUGGGGAAAGGAGAGAAAGCGGGUCACCCCCUGCAGCAGGCCUCCAAAGCUGCUGAGAGACAGCACCAAGAGCACCAGCCCCAAGGAAAGGCUGCCUACCCUCUUCAGACAACCCUGAAAGUAUGUGUCAUCCAGCAUCAAGGCCACCACAGUCACCAUGAAGCAAAGGUCUUCUGGGAUCUUGGCAAGAGCCGGGUGAGUGGGUGGUUUGGGGUAGGAGCACUCUGCUCACCUGGAAGGUCCCAUACAAGCCAUGCCCACGGAAGAAAAUGAAUUAUCCACAUGGGCACUCUGUCAGUCACCACACGUCAUCUGCUGCGUUUGUGUCCUGUGCAAAGCCAUCAGCAGUAUCUAUAAGAAUUAUAGAUACUCAGAUUAUAAGAUAUGGGCCUUGGACCUCUCAGGGACCUGGAGAGGUAAGUAGGGGUGGCCCACAGAUGAAACGCUCUGAGGCCACAGAGGAUGAGGUGGGUGGCAAGCCAUCCAUAAACAUGGCCCUGAUUUGGGGGCUGAGGAAAUCCAGCAGGCUCCCUUUCCUCACAAAGGAAGGUGUUCACAGAAGAAAACUGUCCCUCGAGAUUUGGGAAGAAACAGAGUUCACAGGAUGGACAAGCACCUGAAGGAAGUGUCCUGGGGUCUAAAGAAGUGAGGGACGGUUUCUCACAAGUGGUCAUUUCCCUAGUGUGCAUACAGAGAUGGGUUUGGGACAAGAGCAGGAGCCACAAGGUGAGCGGGCACAGAGAGGUCAUCUAAUGUGUGCAGGACCCUGGGAUCCAUCCCUGUACUGCAGAGAAAGAAAGAAAAAUCAUUGCCCACUUUAACUGGGUGGACGCUACCUCAAGAAAGCUAACUUAAAGAAAAAGGGAAAUGCAAGUGGACAUUUCAGUCGCAGAGGGCUCCAGGGCAAGGGAAGAACAGGAUGGGAGGCCGCGGGACCUGCCCACACUCCUUCUCCUGCCCAGGAAGACAGUGGCAGCCUGAGCACGGAGCGCCUGUCUCCCGGCCUGGGGUGCAGUGCUGCAUCUCUGGUCAGUUGGGAGUCUGAGAUGAAGCACUGUAGCUCAGGAAGAGAGAAGUUGGUCUGCAGCCAUCUCCGGGACGCGCGUGGUAAGUGUUGACGUGGGGUGACAGGCCCUAUAGGUUGUCCCUAGGCUCCGCGUCAGCGGUCUGUGGUGACGGUCCUCGGCUCGAGCUGCACCAGUAGGCGCUGGUCCAUUCAGUGGCGGCUGGUACCGACACCCUGCCUCCACUUUCUCUUCCUGAGCCCAUAGGACAUACUGCUGACAAAUCACGGCACCUAUCCAUUCUGGGAGGGUUCCGGCACACCCUCAGAUUCCUUCUUAACACUGCAGACUCGAAUCCCCACUGUUAAUGACUCUGAUUACAACCCGUUCAUCUCCGGAGAUCAUCAGACAUUCCCUAACAGCUCUUCCAUCCCGGAGGGAGCGGCCCAGGGUCCUGGCAGCCCCACACAUGGUAGAUGACACCAUCAUGUGGCAAUGUCAAAAUGUUGCACAUCCCUGUUGGGCUUGGAGUCAAAGUCCUCAGUCUCUGAGCCUCUAACCCUGGCUCUGUGCUAUUGGCUAAACCAGCCCAGGCAUUUCACAAAUGUCUACCCUGUCCUAGAGGCCUCGGAGACGCAAGGGGCAGCAGAGGAGAGCCGCUGGGAUCUGCCCAGUGAUAUCUAACCUCCCACACCUGGUCAGAAGAAGGUGACCCACUUCACGGAGGAGAAAACUAAGUCUUGGUUAAGUGGCUGGCCUUAGGUCACACAUGGGUGUGCUGAGCUGGGGUCCAACUUCUUAUCCCCUGUGAGACUAUGGGACCGGGGAGUAGGAAAGUACGAGAACAGAACACACUCCACUCUGAUCCUGUGUACUCUCUGCUGUGGUAACAGAGUCAGGACCACACAUGUCUAAGGGGCCUGUGGCCUCGAUUUCUUCUGCAUGCUGGCUCCUCACCCCGUAGGUCCUAUUUGAUGCCAUUUCACAAGCAAGGCCCAGAGUUUAAGUGAUCCGCUGGAAGUCAACAGUGAGAAAGUUGCCAGAGCAUGGGAACUGACUUCACCCACACUGGCUUAAACUCACCCUCCUGGCCAGAGCAUUCGUGGCCUAUGGCAAUGUGGGGAGGGGUGGGGGGGCGGGGGAGAGGAACGACUGGUCCCAGAUGUUUUCUGAUCAAUUCUGAUCAACAUCAGCAGGCUGGCCUUUGACCACAGGGAAGGUACUUUCCAAGCCACUCCAAGCUCUAGCUGCUCUUCCCAGGGCGGGACGCUGCAGCACCCCACACUGGCUGCCAGAGCUAGGGGCCGGAUGCAGAGAAAAGUGCUGGUCCCUAGGGGUGUGGCACGUGCUGAAGGCUUCCCUCUCCCACCUUGUCCUCACGGUCCAGUUUUCCCAGGAAUCCCUUGGAUGCUAAGAUGGGGAUUCCUGGAAAUACUGUUCUUGAGGUCAAGGCUUAACGGCGGGAUCUGCCUCCUUCCCACCCUGGCAUUUCCUCCCUGGGAUGAGGGAGGAGAAGGCGGCACGCUGGAGGUAAGAGGCCUCGCUCGGGACAUCCCUUCUGACCUUUGUAUUGCUUUUCUUUCCACUGGGUCGGCAUUUCAUAACAUCCCCCCCCCCCCCCCGCCGAGGCUGGAUGUGGGAACCUCAGAACUGCCUCACUCUUGAGAAACUUGUCCCAAGUCGCCGUGGUUGAAGCAGGACUCUGAGGCAGCCUCCCCCUCCACCCUGACCCUCCGCAUUCCUUCCCUGCAGGCCUUAUGGCAAGGAGGGGCCACAGGCCCGUAUCCAUAUUAUUCAGAAAGCCAUACACAAUUUUAUUUUAAAUUUUAUUACAUCAGUUAGGUAAACUCAAAACCAUUCCUCUCCCGUUGGGUUUGGAGUGCCGCCGCCGCCGCCGCCGCCGCCGCAGGAAAUGCGCGUUCCAGGUAGGAAAAUACAAGGUUUGGACCGCCCCCUGGUGGUAGUCCAGCGAACUGCAAGAACACUGAUUUCCCCAGACACUGAGCAGGAAUCGCUCCGUAGCCCUGCCUUCCUGUUUCUACACACUUCUACCAAAAUUCUUUCUGCCCAAUUCUUUUGAGCCUCUGACAUGCUUCAGCCUUAUUCAUUUCUUGCCAGAGAUGCUUCCUCGGCUUACAGUUGGCUUUUCUUUAGGUACAAACCAGUGCCAGUUCACCUAGACGGCAAACAGCAGAACUAGGAUAGGUUUCAAGUUCCGUGGCCCCUGGCCUUGAAUGUCUGAGCCAAAAGGAAAAGUAGGGCCAAGUACUCCUCCCUUAUAGCUCCCUGCCUUCCAACCCUUGAGAGUUCUUUCUCAUUUUUCCUUAAUAAAUCUCUGCUUGCUGUGCUUUUAAAAAAAAAUCCAAAAAAAAAAAAAAAAACCAAAU